rnacentral:rRNA from 1 species
GGAAUAUUGGUCAAUGGGCGGGAGCCUGAACCAGCCAAGUCGCGUGAGGGAUGACGGCCCUAUGGGUUGUAAACCUCUUUUGCCGGGGAGCAAAGUGCCGCACGUGUGCGGCUUGGAGAGUACCCGGAGAAAAAGCAUCGGCUAACUCCGUGCCAGCAGCCGCGGUAAGACGGAGGAUGCGAGCGUUAUCCGGAUCUAUUGGGUUUAAAGGGUGCGAAGGCGGACGCUUAAGCCAGCGGUAAAAUGGCGGGGCUCAACCUCGUCGAGCCGUUGAAACUGGGUGCCUUGAGUGGGCGAGAAGUACGCGGAAUGCGCGGUGUAGCGGUGAAAUGCAUAGAUAUCACGCAGAACUCCGAUUGCGAAGGCAGCGUACCGGCGCCCAACUGACGCUGAAGCACGAAGGCGUGGGUAUCGAA